GGCCGGAUGGCGCAACGGUAGCGCAGAAGAUUCAGAUCUCAAGGUUGUAGGUUCGAAUCCUGCUUCGGUCA